rnacentral:tRNA from 1 species
GCCCGGGUGGCGGAACGGAUUACGCGUCGGCCUUAGGAGCCGAUGGGGCGCAAGUCCCGUGUGGGUUCGAGUCCCACCCCGGGCA